GGAAAAGGAUGUGGGAUUUCGAAGACAACUAGGAUGUUGGCUCAGAAGCAGCCAUUCAUUCAAAGAGUGCGUAAUAGCUCACUAGUCGAGAGGUCCUGCGCCGAAAAUGUCCGGGGCUGAAACACGACACCGAAGCCGUGGAAUCACGUAGUGAUUGGUAGAGGAGCAUUCUUAAACGGUGGAAGCUGUACCGGAAGGAGCAGUGGACGGUUAAGAAGAGAGAAUGCCGGAAUGAGUAGCGAGAAAGAAGUGAGAAUCUUCUUGGCCGAAUAUCUAAGGUUUCCAGAGUAAAGCUGAUCUGCUCUGGGUAAGUCGGGGCCUAAGGCGAGGUCGAAAGACGUAGUCGAUGGAUAACAGGUUGAGAUUCCUGUACCGCAUGAAAUCAGAACUGUGGGGACACAGACAGGAAGAGGGAGCCGGGAAUGGAAAGUCCGGUCCAAGCGAGGUAGGAGUACCGAUGGCAAAUCCGCGGUGCGAUCCGAAGACGUGACGGGGAGCGAACAUAAGUAGCGAAGCCCUUGCCCCUGGCUGUCAAGAAAAGCCGCUAUCGUAUUUCAUGUGCCCGUACCGUAAACCGACACAGGUGGAUGAGGAGAGAAUCCUAAGGCCGACGGGAGAAGUGUUGUUAAGGAACUCGGCAAAAUGGCCCCGUAACUUCGGGAGAAGGGGUGCCUGCGAGAGCAGGCCGCAGAGAAUUGGCCCAAGCAACUGUUUAGCAAAAACACAGGUCUAUGCAAAACCGCAAGGUGAAGUAUAUGGGCUGACGCCUGCCCGGUGCUGGAAGGUUAAGGGGAGGGCUUAGAGCAAUCGAAGGUCUGAACUUAAGCCCCAGUAAACGGCGGCCGUAACUAUAACGGUCCUAAGGUAGCGAAAUUCCUUGUCGGGUAAGUUCCGACCCGCACGAAAGGCGUAAUGAUUUGGGCACUGUCUCAACAACACACCCGGUGAAAUUGAAAUACCAGUGAAGAUGCUGGUUACCCGCGCCAGGACGGAAAGACCCCAUGGAGCUUUACUCUAGCUUGAUACUGGGAUUCGGUACUGCAUGUACAGGAUAGGUGGGAGACGUGGAGCCAUGGACGCCAGUCCAUGAGGAGUCGCUGUUGGGAUACCACCCUUGCAGUAUUGGAUUUCUAACCAGCAGCCGUGAUCCGGCUGGGGGACAAUGUCAGGUGGGGAGUUUGACUGGGGCGGUCGCCUCCGAAAGGGUAUCGGAGGCGCUCAAAGGUUCCCUCAGAAUGGUCGGAAACCAUUCGCAGAGUGCAAAGGCAGAAGGGAGCUUGACUGUGACACCGACGGGUGGAGCAGGUACGAAAGUAGGACUUAGUGAUCCGGUGGUAUAAAGUGGGAUUGCCAUCGCUCAACGGAUAAAAGCUACCCUGGGGAUAACAGGCUUAUCACUCCCAAGAGUUCACAUCGACGGAGUGGUUUGGCACCUCGAUGUCGGCUCAUCGCAUCCUGGAGCUGUAGCAGGUUCCAAGGGUUGGGCUGUUCGCCCAUUAAAGCGGUACGCGAGCUGGGUUCAGAACGUCGUGAGACAGUUCGGUCCCUAUCCGGCGUGGGCGCAGGAGAUCUGAGAGGAGCUGUCCUUAGUACGAGAGGACCGGGAUGGACGGACCGCUGGUGUAUCUGUUGUCGUGCCAACGGCAUAGCAGAGUAGCCAAGUCUGGAAGGGAUAAACGCUGAAGGCAUCUAAGCGUGAAGCCCCCCUCAAGAUGAGAUCUCCCAUUCUUCGGAAGUAAGACCCCUUGAAGACGACGAGGUAGAUAGGGCAGGGGUGGAAGUGCAGCAAUGCAUGGAGCUGACUGUCACUAAUCGGUCGAGGUCUUAACCAG
rfam:Anaerostipes sp. 992a contig000001, whole genome shotgun sequence.